rnacentral:piRNA from 1 species
UGCAGAGGAAACUGCCACUUAUAAACCGUC